AAAAACCCACUUGAACAAGCCCAGCCCAGCCCCUCUUCUUCUUUUGAUCCAACCCCUCUUCUUCUUCUUCCUCCGUUCGUCCACAUCCCCAGCCGCCAUCUUUCCUCCUCCAUUCGUCAGCCGUUUAUCCUCCUCUGUUCGUCCCUGUCCCCAGCCGCACUAGAACACUAGCAGGAGCGCCUCCUCCAGCCGAUCCCCAGCCAUCUGCUCCUCCUCUGGCCGUUCCCAAUCUCGAACAAAAAUACCAGCAAUGAAAAUGGCACUCAUCUUCUUCCUUAGGCUGUGAUAAAGCAAUUUAGUGGGACUGGCUAUGAAAGAUCGGAUGUCAUGGUGAUAGAUGAGAUUAAAAUGCAGAGAAAUCAACAACUUGAGAAACUUUAUAGAUCCACUCAUUUCAUAAAGGUUUAGGAAAGCUCAUUGAUGACUUUUGAGCUAUCUGUAAAUGUUCGAGAGAUGUGGCUCGUUUGCAUUUGCAACUAGAAGCAGCAAGGCUUGCUUCAUCGGCCAAAGGGUAUCAUCCAGUUCAUGUGCUUUUUGUGACCGAGUGCUUUCCAAUCUCGAAUCUGUUUACUUGUAAAGAUCUCGUUACACAAGAAGGGAAUGUCUGGCUGUAUGAACCAGAUCGUAAUAAAUUGAGGGAUAAGGUUCAGCUCCUAGUUGGGUCAUGUGAACUUUCAAUUCCUCUUAAUGCUAAAGGUUUUGGCGUUUUGCAAGUGUUUGAAAAGAAUGUGAGUCAAGUGGGAAUUUCAAUCUCGAUUCAUUGGAGGUAUAUAUAUAUUUUUUUAUAAUUGCUUUAUUAUAUCACAUAUAAUUUAUAGAAGAGUUUGAAUAUCUUAUAUAUUCAUUCAUAGCAAAGUAGGUUCUGCGAAAUUUGUGUGCCGCGGUGAUGUAAGGAUGAAAUAUUGUGUGUUAUCCAAUAUUUAUAGUUGAAAUUGACAGAUGGUUAGGUUAAUAAAAUAGGGAAAAUGCUGUCUGAUUUUUCGUAGAUAUGUUUCUCAUAUUUUUAAAACAAUUGCAUGGAUUAAUUGAUAGAUAUGUGAAUAUGGUGUUAAUAUAGGUUAAAAUAGAAUGUCUGGUCAAGUCAAUUUUAAUUUUGAGGAUGAUGUUGAUUUUGUGCCAUCAAUUGCAAAUGAAGUACAAUUUGUUAGUAAUACAGUAGACGAAACUCAGACUACAGGGACAGUUUAAAAAGAACCUCUCGUGCAUGAGAUCAUUUCACACGGCAAAAUAUUGAUGGAAAAUUAAAGCAGUUUGUAAUUAUUGUGAGCGUAAGCUGGUGGGAGAAAGUUCUAAAGGGACUAGGUAUUUAAAUUCUCACGUAGAGAGGCGUCCAGUAAGAAAGGCCCAACUUGCCGCUAAUCCUAGUGCAACUGCAAGCCCUUUAGUUACUUUUAAUUUUGAUCCUGAUUUAGGAAUAAUCAAAUUUGUUCAAAUGAUUGUUAAGUAUGAAUAUCAUUUGUCUAUGGUUGAGCGUAGCGGGUUUAUAGAAUAUUUAAGUACUUUGUGUUCCAUGUUUUAAAUGGUGUUAAGGAAUACGUUUAUGUCUGACAUUAUUAAAAUGUAUAAAACUGAAAAAGAAAAGUGCAGGCAAAUUUCGGAUAAAAGUAGGAGUAGAAUAGUCAUAACUAGUGACAUGUGGACUGCAAAUUAUUAGAAGAGAGGAUAUAUGGCUGUAAUAGCUCAUUUUAUUGAUGAUUCUUAGAAAUUACACAGUUAGAUAUUAAGUUUUAAGUAUGUUUCGUGUCCUCGCGAUACUCCAACACUACUUGAGGCCUUAAGAUCUUGUCUUAAUGAAUGAAAAAUAGAAGACAAGAUCAGAAUAGUGACUCUCGAUAACUGUACUUCAAAUGAUGCUAUGAUUGAGCUUUUGAAAGGACAAUUUGAGCCUGACAGUUUUAUUUUAAAGGGAAAGUUGCUACAUGUGCGUUGUUGUGCACAUUUUAAAUCUAAUUGUCAAAGAUGGCUUAUCUGUCAUUGGUGAUAAUAUUGACAAAAUUUGAGGCAAUGUUACUUAUUGGUCGGGUACACCAAAAGGACAUGAAAAAUUUGAGGACACUACUCGUCAACUUGGAGUACCAUACACUAAAAAAAUAUCACUUGAUUGUAUAACGAGGUGGAAUUCAACUUUUCUGAUACUUAGCACAGCUUUAUCGCACAAGACAAUAUUUAAACAUGCAAGGUUGCGUUUGUUGCGUUUUAGGAGUGUCCCUUCGGAAAUUGAUUGGCAAGAUGUUCAACAAUUGUGUGAUAAGUUAGAGUUGUUUCAUGAAGUGAUGAUUAUUUUCUGGAACAAAAUACCUUACCGUUAAUAUUUUUUUUUCCAAAAAUAUGUGAAAUUAAGACAAACAUUGAAUCAUGGAUGUCAUCAGAUGUGCCUUUUAAUAAGGACAUGACAACUCAAAUGAUGUCUAAGUUCUAGAAAUAUUGGGGAAAGAUUCACGGGCUUAUGUGUGUGGCGGUUGUUUUAGACCUGAGGUACAAGUUCAUGUUGUUCGAAUAUUAUUUUCCUGUAAUCUAUGGAGAUGAGUAAUAUGUAAUUGAAAUUGCGAAUGUUCGUGAGCUUUGUUGCAAGCUAUUGGAGUAGUACGAGUUUAAGCUUUCUCAUUUGAGAGAAAGAGAGGUUCAGGAAGAAAAUGUAUCGACAUCGUUUUCAACACGACGAUUGGAUGCCCUUUCUAACUUUGACAGAUUUGUUAGAGCUUCCUAUCGAGUAGAGAAUAUGAAAUCUGAACUGGAUUUACAUUUAGAGGAGAACUUGGUACCUAGUACUGAAGAGUUAUUUGAUAUAUGCAACUAUUGUAAGGUGACGGGCCUCAAAUACCCUUUGUUGAGUAUGAUUGCCAAGGAUGUAUUUGCUGUGCCUGUUAGCACUGUUGCUUGCAUGUAGAUUCUGAAGUAAUAGUGCUAACAGACACAACAAAUACAUCCUUGGCAAUCAUACUCAACAAAGGGUAUUUGAGGCCCGUCACCUUCCAAUAGUUGCAUAUAUCAAAUAACUCUUCAGUCUUAGGUACCUAGUUCUCCUCUAAAUAUAAAUCCAGUUCAGACUUCAUAUUCUCUACUCGAUAGGAAGCUCUAACAAAUCUGUCAAAGUUAGAAAGGACAUCUUAUCGACGUGUUGAAGACGAUGUCGAUACAUUUUUUUCCUGAACCUCUCUUUCUCUCAAAUGAGAAAACUUAGACCCGUACUCCUCCAGUAGCUCGCAACAAAGCUCAUGAACAUUUGCAAUUUCAGUUACAUAUUGCUCAUAUUCAAGCAAUAUGAACUUGUACCUCGGGUCUAAAACAACUGCCACACACAUAAGCUUGUGAAUCUUUUUCCAAUAUUUCUAGAACUUGGACAUCAUUUGAGUUGCCAUGUCCUUAAUUAAAGGCACAUAUGAUGACAUUCAUGAUUCAAUGUUUUGUCGUAAUUCCACAUUUUUAGGAAAAAAAUAUCGGCGGUUGGGUACUUUGUUCCAGAAAAUAAUUUCGUCAAUUCAUGAAACAACUCUAAUUUGUCACACAAUUGUUGAGCAUUUUGCCAAUUAAUUUUCGAAGGGGUACACCUCAAACACAACUCACACAGCCUUGUACGUUCAAAUAUUGUCUUGUACGAUAUAACUGUGCUAAACAACAAAAAGGUUGAAUUCCAUCUUAUUACACAAUCAAGUGAUAUUUUUUUGGUGUAUGGUACUCUAAGUUGACGAGUAGUGUCCUCAAAUUUUUCAUGUCUUUUUGGUGUACCCGACCAAUAAGCAACACUGUCUCGAAUUUUGUCAAUACUAUCACCAAUGACAGUUAAGUAAUCUUUGACAAUUAGAUUUAAAAUAUGUGCACAACAACGCACACGUAGCAACUUUCCCUUCAAAAUAAAACUGUCAGACUCAAAUUGUCCUUUCAAAAGCUCAAUCAUAGCAUCAUUUGAAGUACAGUUAUCAAGAGUCACUGUACUGAUCUUGUCUUCUAUUUUCUAUUCAUUAAGACAAGAUCUUAGGGCCUCAAGUAGUGAUGGAGCAUCAUGAGGACACGGAACAUACUUAAAACUCAAUAUCUGACUGUGUAAUUUCUAAGAAACAUCAAUAAAAUGAGCUGUUACAGCUAUAUAUCCCAUCUUCUAAUGAUUUGCAGUCCAUAUGUCACUAGUUAUGGCUAUUCUACUAUAACUUUUUUCUAAAAUUUGCAUGCACAUUUCUUUCUCAGUUUUAUACAUUUUCAUAAUGUCAGACCUAAUCGUAUUCUUUGACACUAUUUGAAACAUGGGACACAAAGUGCUUGAAUAUUCUAUUAGCCUGCUAUGCUCAACCAUAGACAAAGGAUAUUCAUACUCAACAAUCAUUUGAGCCAAUUUGAUCCUUAUUAAAUCAAGAUCAAAAUUGAAAGUAACUGAAGGGCUUGCAGUUGCACUAGGAUUGGCGGCAAGUUGGGCCUUUCUUACUGGACACCUCUCUAAGUGAGAAUUUAAAUGCCUAGUCCCUUUAGAUCUUUCUCCCACCAGCUUACUCUCGCAAUAAUUGCAAAUUGCUUUAAUUUUUCCAUCAAUAUUUUGCCGCGUGAAAUGAUCCCAUGCACGAGAGGUUCUUUUUCUCUGUGUCCCUGUAGUAUGAGCUUCUUCUACUGUAUUACUAACAGAUUGUACUUCAUUUGCAGUUGAUGGCACAAAGUCAAUAUCAUCCUCAAAAUUAGAAUCAAUUCGAUUAGACCUUUUAUUUUAACCUACAUUAACACCAUAUUCUCAUAUCUAUCAAUUAAUCCAUGCAAUUGCUUUAAAAAUAUUAUAAACAUAUCUACGGAAAAUGGACAACAUUUUUCCUAUUUUAUUAAUCUAAUCAUCUGUCAAUUUUAACUAUAAAUAAUUAGAUAACUCAAAAUUUUUCAUCCUUAUAUCACCGCAGCACACAAAUUUCGUAAAACCUACUUCGCUAUGGAUGAAUAUAAAAGAUAUUCAAGCUCUUCUAUGAAUUAUAUGUAAUAGAAUAAAGCAAUUAUAAAAAAUUUAUAUAUAUAUAUAUACCUCCUAUGAAUCGAGAUUGAAAUUUCCACUUGACUUAAAUUCUUUUCAAACACUUGCAAAACGUCAAAGCCUAUAAAAAGAUAAACACAUUUCAUUAUACAAUAACUUUAAGUAAUCAAACUAGUACAUAUAUAACUUCAAACAUAAAUUUAAGUCUAAACUGUCAUUUAAACAUAAGACCAUUGAAAUUCACUUUUUUUUGCCAUCUUUAUGAUUUUGGGCAAGCAACAUAACUACUUCAUCCUUAGCUCAUUCAUCUUCAAGUUUACUACACAAUUUGUCCUCAAAUAUUUUUUUUGAGAUGAAAUUUGAACCCUAUUUUAAACUCUAUUGUACUCUGUAACUCGUUUUAUUUGCUUAUUAAUUAUGUUUAUUUUUCUAAUUGUAGCACAGUAGAUUGAAUUCUACACUGAAUUUGGGUCAAAUAUUCUCUUUGCAUGAACUUAACUGGAGAAGGUUAAUGAAAUUGAUUAACUUGAAUGGAUCCACUUAAGUUAUUUGUGUUUAGUUCAAGAAAAAUAAACUUACAAAGGCCUAUUUUCUGAUUACAACUACUUGGUUAGUUUUCUAAAAGCAAAUAGCAAAGAAACAAAUUUACAAUAAGAGUAAAUGGCUGAAGUUUAACCUUUAGCAUUAAGAGGAACUGGAAGUUCACAUGACCCAACUGGGAGUUGAACCUUAUUCCUCAAUUUAUUACGAUUUGGUUCAUACAGCUAGGCAUUCCUUUCUUGUGUGAUGAGAUCUUUACAAGUAAACAGAUUCGGGAUUGGAAAGCACUCGGUCACAAAAAGCACAUGAAUCGGAUGAUACCGUUUGGCAGAUGAAGCAAAUCUUGCUGCUUCUAGUUGCAAAUGCAAACGAGCCACAUCUCUUGAACAUUUACAUAUAGCUGAAAAGUCAUCAACGAGAUUUUCUAAACCUUGAAAUGUAAAAUGAUUCAGAUAACAAUAAACACAAGAUGAAUAACAGAAUAUAGAAGAUUUUAAUAUUGACAAUGGGUUUAAACCAGAUUCGGGCCAGUUGGGAAGAAGAAGAAAAAGGGAAAUGGUGGAAGAGUAAAAUUCAUUUAGAAAUUUAGGGUUUUUUUUAAUAUUUGAAAUCAGGCUGGGUCUAACCCGACCCGAAAUAAUAUAUACCGGGCUGGGAGCUCGAUAAAAGCCCGACUCGGCCCGCAAAAUUGGCCCUAAUUGCCAUCCCUAGUCCGGCCUAAACUGGUCCGAUUAUCUCGGGUCGGGCUUGACUCGCUAGGCCAAAAGAAGGAGUCGGGUCGGGCCAAAGUGAUAUCGGGUCGGGCCGGGUUUGUGGCGGGGUCAGGCCCGACCUGACCCGAUUGACAUUCCUAGUUGAAUGAGAUAGGAUGCUGAGACACAGUUUCUAGAAGAUAAGCAAGGUAAGGGAAGCACAUAUUCCUGAAAAUGUUCCAAAGUUGCAUACAGCAGUAGAGACUGACUUUCUAAAGACUUGUUGCACUAGUUUGUUUGCUCGUCAUGAUUUUAGGAAUAAAGUUUUAAAAUAAUUAUAGUUAAUACAUAAUGAAGAUAUUCUAUUUUCUUA